rnacentral:rRNA from 1 species
AGUGAACGCUGGCGGUAGGCCUAACACAUGCAAGUCGAACGGCAGCACAGUAAGAGCUUGCUCUUACGGGUGGCGAGUGGCGGACGGGUGAGGAAUACAUCGGAAUCUACUUUUUCGUGGGGGAUAACGUAGGGAAACUUACGCUAAUACCGCAUACGACCUACGGGUGAAAGCAGGGGAUCUUCGGACCUUGCGCGAUUGAAUGAGCCGAUGUCGGAUUAGCUAGUUGGCGGGGUAAAGGCCCACCAAGGCGACGGUCCGUAGCUGGUCUGAGAGGAUGAUCCGCCAGACUGGAAGUGAGGAACGGCCCAGACUCCUACGAGAGGCAGCAGUGGGGAAUAUUGAGCAAUGGGCGCAAGCCUGAUCCAGCCAUACCGCGGGAGUGAAGAAGGACUUCGGGUUGUAAAGCCCUUUUGUUGGGAAAGAAAAGCAGCAGGUUAAUACCCCGCUGUUCUGACGGUACCCAAAGAAUAAGCACCGGCUAACUUCGUG